UACAGAGGGUGCAAGCGUUAAUCGGAAUGACUGGGCGUAAAGCGUGUGUAGGUGGUUAGAUAAGUUAGAUGUGAAAUCCCCGGGCUUAACCUGGGAACUGCGUUUAAGACUGUUUAACUAGAGUACUGUAGAGGGUAGUGGAAUUUCCAGUGUAGCGGUGAAGUGCGUAGAUAUUGAAAGGAACACCAGUGGCGAAGGCGACUACCUGGAUAGAUACUGACACUGAGACACGAAAGCGUGGGGAGCAAACAGG
rnacentral:rRNA from 1 species